rnacentral:rRNA from 1 species
AGCGAACGCUGGCGGCGUGCCUAACACAUGCAAGUCGAACGUGAAAAGGGAAACCUGAGUAAAGUGGCGUACGGGUGAGUAACGCGUAGGUAAUCUACCCCAGAAUCUGGAAUAACCUGCCGAAAGGCGGGCUAAUACUGGAUAGAGCGAGGGAACUCGUAAGAGAGUUUUUCGGGAAAGGGAGCCCGCAAGGGCCUUCGUUCUGGGAUGAGCCUGCGUCUCAUUAGCUAGUUGGUAAGGUAACGGCUUACCAAGGCGAUGAUGAGUAGCUGGUCUGAGAGGAUGAUCAGCCACACUGGAACUGAAACACGGUCCAGACUCCUACGGGAGGCAGCAGUGGGGAAUCUUGCGCAAUGGACGAAAGCCUGACGCAGCCACGCCGCGUGAGUGAAGAAGGCCUUCGGGUUGUAAAGCUCUGUCGGAUGGGACGAACAUCUUCAUAGUGAAUAGCUAUGAGGACUGACGGUACCAGCAAAGGAAGCACCGGCUAACUCCGUG